AUGUGUCAUUAACUUUAUAACGUUUCAGAUGUUUGUUUCAAGCAUGAGCGAGGCAGCAAAAAGCGCGAGGGGUCCGUAACGGCUGGACUGCAUGGUGGCAAAGAGUGGUGGUGAGACGAAUCUUCGAACUUACAGGCACGAGACAGCAGAGAUUGCAACUCUUAACCUGAUAGGACUGGUGGUGUGAGACAAAUGAGAAAAGAUUAUUUUUAGGUGAAAUCCUCAAUGCAACUCAGUGGAUGCUGAGUAUGGACGGUCAGGUGGUUGUGAAUCCACACCCCAACCUUGUGGCUGGAUUUGCAGCUUUGUUCGCAUCAUACUACAACUUCAACCUGGUUUAUUAGGAGGAGGCAUCCUCCACACUUGAAUUUGUUCUAAGAUGUUUUGUUGGAAUCACACCUACCACUGGCAUCAAGACAGCCAAAACAAAGGUUGGAGGCAAAAAAGUGGAAACGCCUCUGAGAAGAGAAACAACACCAUCAACCCUCAUGUGUGUACUCUUUUCAGAAAAUUAUUGGACUUUGAAUGGUUACGCAUGUAAGUUCUUGUUCAUGUAUUAAGACCAAAACAUAUUGUAAAUAGGCCAGUUCUGUGAUUGAGCACUUGUGUUUUUAGACAUACAAGUUAUGUUAUGUUCUAACACAGAUUCAACAAGAUCUUAAAUGUAACACAAACCGUGUUUAGAUGUUUUAUAGAUGCCAUUGUUUUAGAAUAUUAAGGAUUGAGUGGAAUAUUUGCUGAAACAACAUAAUUUUUUUGAAAGUACUUUGCUGUUAGUUU